AAUUCGACGCUACGCGAAGAACCUCACCAGGGUUUGACAUAUAGGUAGUAGGAACCUGAAAGGGAGACGACUCGUUAAGCCGAGUGCCUAUACAGGUGUUGCAUGGCUGUCGUCAGCUCGUGCCGUGAGGUGUUGGGUUAAGUCCCGCAACGAGCGCAACCAUCAUCCUUAGUUGCUACCGAGGGAUCCGAAAGGGUCCUGGCGAGCACUCUAAGGAGACUGCCCGUGAUAAACGGGAGGAAGGUGGAGAUGACGUCAAGUCCGUAUGGCCCUUAUACCCUGGGCUACACACGUGUUACAAUGGGAUGUACAGAGCGUUGCCAAACCGCGAGGUGGAGCUAAUCGCAAAAAGCAUCCCCCAGUUCAGAUUGGAGUCUGCAACCCGACUCCAUGAAGUUGGAAUUGCUAGUAACGGCGGAUCAGCUACGCCGCCAUGAAUACGUUCCCGGGCCUU
rnacentral:rRNA from 1 species